UCAGGAUGAACGCUAGCGGCAGGCUAGCACAUGCAAGUCGAGGGGCGAGCGGGAUGUAGCAAUACGUUGCCGGCGACCGGCGGAUGGGUGCGUAACGCGUAUGCAACCUACCUUAUACAGGGGAAUAACCUUUCGAAAGGGAGACUAACACCCCAUAGUAUUGAUUUAAGGCAUCUUAGAUUAAUUAAAUAUUUAUAGGUAUAAGAUGGGCAUGCGUAUGAUUAGCUAGUUGGUAAGGUAACGGCUUACCAAGGCGACGAUCAUUAGGGGUUCUGAGAGGAAGGUCCCCCACACUGGUACUGAGACACGGACCAGACUCCUACGGGAGGCAGCAGUGAGGAAUAUUGGUCAAUGGGCGCAAGCCUGAACCAGCCAUGCCGCGUGCAAGGAAGACGGCCUUAUGGGUUGUAAACUGUCUUUUACAUAAGACUAACCGUAUAUUUGCGAAUAUACCUGAAUGUAUUAUGAGAAUAAGGAUCGGCUAACUCCGUGCCAGCCGCCGC
rnacentral:rRNA from 1 species